CCUACGGGUGGCUGCAGUGGGGAAUAUUGGACAAUGGGGGCAACCCUGAUCCAGCCAUGCCGCGUGUGUGAAGAAGGCCCUCGGGUUGUAAAGCACUUUCAGUGAGGAAGAACGCCUGGUGGUUAAUACCCAUCAGGAAAGACAUCACUCACAGAAGAAGCACCGGCUAACUCCGUGCCAGCAGCCGCGGUAAUACGGAGGGUGCGAGCGUUAAUCGGAAUUACUGGGCGUAAAGCGCGCGUAGGUGGCUUGAUAAGCCGGUUGUGAAAGCCCCAGGCUCAACCUGGGAACGGCAUCCGGAACUGUCAAGCUAGAGUGCAGGAGAGGAAGGUAGAAUUCCCGGUGUAGCGGUGAAAUGCGUAGAGAUCGGGAGGAAUACCAGUGGCGAAGGCGGCCUUCUGGACUGACACUGACACUGAGGUGCGAAAGCGUGGGUAGCAAACAGGAUUAGAUACCCGGGUAGUC
rnacentral:rRNA from 1 species